rnacentral:rRNA from 1 species
AGCGAACGCUGGCGGCAGGCCUAACACAUGCAAGUCGAACGGGCACCUUCGGGUGUCAGUGGCAGACGGGUGAGUAACACGUGGGAACGUGCCCUUUGGUUCGGAACAACUCCGGGAAACUGGAGCUAAUACCGGAUAAGCCCUUCGGGGAAAGAUUUAUCGCCAAAGGAUCGGCCCGCGUCUGAUUAGCUUGUUGGUGAGGUAAUGGCUCACCAAGGCGACGAUCAGUAGCUGGUCGAGAGGAUGAUCAGCCACACUGGGACUGAGACACGGCCCAGACUCCUACGGGAGGCAGCAGUGGGGAAUAUUGGACAAUGGGCGCAAGCCUGAUCCAGCCAUGCCGCGUGAGUGAUGAAGGCCCUAGGGUUGUAAAGCUCUUUCGGCGGGGACGAUAAUGACGGUACCCGCAG